rnacentral:rRNA from 1 species
GAUGAACGCUGGCGGCGUGCUUAACACAUGCAAGUCGAACGGAAAGGCUCCUGCUUGCAGGGGUACUCGAGUGGCGAACGGGUGAGUAACACGUGGGUGAUCUGCCCUGCACUUCGGGAUAAGCCUGGGAAACUGGGUCUAAUACCGGAUAGGACGAUGGUUUGGAUGCCAUUGUUGAAAGUUUUUUCGGUGUGGGAUGAGCUCGCGGCCUAUCAGCUUGUUGGUGGGGUAAUGGCCUACCAAGGCGUCGUCGGGUAGCCGGCCUGAGAGGGUGUACGGCCACAUUGGGACUGAGAUACGGCCCAGACUCCUACGGGAGGCAGCAGUGGGGAAUAUUGCACAAUGGGCGCAAGCCUGAUGCAGCGACGCCGCGUGGGGGAUGACGGCCUUCGGGUUGUAAACUCCUUUCGCUAGGGACGAAGCGCAAGUGACGGUACCUGGAGAAGAAGCACCGGCUAACUACGUG